GCCAAUAAGCCCAACUGCUUUACAAGAAGUAUAGUAGGACAUUAAAAGCGAGCAAAUUAUCACUUGUUCUAUCCAUGUAAAAUAAUAAUAGCAGAUCAAUGGUUAUAGUCAAGACGUCGCAAUAACAACCCACUGCACCUAAUUGUAUAUGGUUAAGCCGACGUACAAAAUGGUGAUGAUUAUUAAGUUCCUACGUGCAAAAUUAUCUUUACGGAGCCUGCACCUACGGGCCUUGAAAGUUGGGCUACUCAAUUUAAAUUGUUGAAUCCAACGUAUAAAAAUUUGUCCCUCCACUUACUAUUCACCAGUUUUAUGUUUGUUCCUGUGAUGGUAGGGUAAAGUUCCCCAUUGCCUUGAGAACUAUUGACUGGUCAACAAGUCAACUUUCUUUAGUGUGCGAGUGUGCCACUGUUAGCAAUGAAAAUCCUAAUAGACUUUUAAAA
rnacentral:lncRNA from 1 species